UUUGAUGGGGAUUUCCAUUGCUCCUGAGCUUACUUUUUGCUGUGACUCAGAAGAAGGGAGCACAGAAGGUGAAUGUGGCAAAAAAGCACCCUAGGCACCUCUGCUUGCAGCUUGGACAGCUUCCCUUUUUCUGUUCCAGAGCCCUGCGAUGCUGCUUCCGCCACGGGGUGUGAGGACACAUGUUUUAGCCUUCCCCAGAUGUUGUCAGGAGGAGCAAGACUGCACUGCCCACAGUGCAUGGGUGGCCCCACCUCUCCUGGCUCUGGAAGUCUACUGUCCAAGUGAUGACUCACACCAAGAGUAAGAGGAGAAAAGGUUUCUGUGCUCUGGUGGAACCUGCUGGAGAUGUUGCUGCAUGUGGGUGAGAAGCUCACUUAGGAUGAGUUCCAGGCCCAGGAUGACUGUGGGCCUCACGGCCUCCUGCAGCUGCUUCUCCUACUUGGUGUAUGCUCUGUCUUGGCCCCGAACAAGAAUGCGAAUGCUCUCGGAAAGCUUAGGGCAUGAUCCACCUAAAACAUUAUGCAUGUGCUAAGCACACAAACACUAGUGUUUCUGGAGUUGUAAUCAUAGCACACAUGUUGUGUCCCACUUAAUCAUCAUCACACGGCUAUGUGAUGUCAGGGUUACUAUCAACAGGAGCAUGGCCCCACUUUCCAGAUGAUGAGACUGAGGUUUGAAGGGCACCCUUGCAACAAGGGCCUUGAACCAGGUACCUGAGACCCACGGGGCAUCAUUUGCUCAUUGAAUCACCUUCAGUGGGCUGGGGGGUGCUGCUCUCCUCACUCCAGGAGCCGCCUGGACCACCUGACACCACUCAGGCCAGCAUCAUUCCUCCUCCUUGGGGUGCAGUGGACCUUUGCCUCCAUUGUGGGUCCGGUUAGCAAGCUUGGGGCUCCAGGAAGCCCGUAUGCUGCUUCAGAGCACGAGAUGUGUGACUCCUGGUAGCCGUCCACCUGGAGCAAUGGCGGGGGC
rnacentral:lncRNA from 12 species